GAAGGGAUAAACGCUGAAAGCAUCUAAGUGUGAAGCCCACCUCAAGAUGAGAUUUCCCAUUUCUUUAAGAAAGUAAGAUCCCUGAGAGAUGAUCAGGUAGAUAGGUCAGGAGUGGAAGUACAGUGAUGUAUGGAGCGGACUGAUACUAAUCGAUCGAGGACUUAACCAAUU
rnacentral:rRNA from 1 species